ACGACAUUUUUGCAGACGACAAGUUUCCCAGCAUGCAAAGGGUUAAGGAUGAAUUUGUACCAUGUGAAUAAGUCUAAAAGUAGGUCAAUAUCAAGGUCAAGUGAUGUGGGUAUAUUGAUACUUAUCAAUGAGGUCAAGUGAUGUGGGUAUAUUGAUACUUAUCAAU